GCGGACACCCAUGGGGCUCAGUCGUUGACGAUUUAUCGGUAUCCGACUAUUCCGCUGUUUGACAAGUCUAUGCAUUGUAUGGUUAGUGCUACAACGUCUGUAGCAAAACAGACCUACACAACACUAUUCAAAAUGAACCACAUAAUCGAUAACAUCAAACAGCCGGAGCUAUUAACAAAUGAACAACACUAACAGCUGUAUCAACAAGAAAAUGUAAACAACGAAGAUCGGGUCCCGGUUCCGGACCCAGCGUACCCACCCUACCUGAGAUGAUCAUUUGAUCUCGUCUCCCUCAUUUUGUUAUGGCCACUCUCCCCAUCAAUUUAAACUUAGCCGGACAUUCUUUUCCUUAAAUAUCCACUUACAAUCUCAUGCAAGCGGACAUUUCCCCCAACUUCACAGCCGAACAACACAAAGAAAGGACGUCACAGAAAGCUAAUGCCAACCGCCGUUGGGAAAAACGUAUUAAAUUGAGCGAUUGGCUCCCCACACGUUCGCGCACGUAUAUAAGUUAACAAAAAAUAAAUUCAUACAGUCCCAAUAAGAAGCAUUGCAACACCUCAUAAGAAGUGCAGCAAAAUGCUGACUUGGUGUCUGUGCCAUUUCCUCCACGCGCCGACUAACAACCGCCGAAAAUUCGAAGAAGAAUUGCCCAACGGGCCAACAACAUCAGCAGCGACGCCGCUGCCAACGCCGCUGCCGCUAAGCCACAGGUUACUAGGGCUAGAAUUGAUUUAAGUUUAUUCAGUUGCAAAUUAACAUCAAAUAAAGGAAGUCUUGCUUCCCUAAAAA